UUAUCCAUAAUCCGGAACCGAACCCGAACCCGAACCGAAAAACCCGAACCCGACCGGUUUUGGAUCUAUCAAAAUACCCGAUCGGUUUUGAUAUGCUGAUACUUUGGUUAUCGGUUACGGUUCGGUUUAAUCCGAUACCCGAAAUAGAACCCGAAAUAACCGAAGUAAAUGUAUGAUGUAGAUAAGUAUAUAUACAUGUAUUAAUAGAUUUCGACAAUUUCCAAGACACAACCACGCUUUGUUAUUUCCAAUUCAAAGAGACAAUCAGACAAUCACGCUUCGUAGGGGCGCUUCCUCUUCUUCCUAAUUUCGUAAACCUAAUCGGUAUUCCCCUAUUAAAAUCAAAGGGUUUUGAUCAAAGAGUGCUAUGUUCAGAAACACAAACCGGCAAUUCUCUCUAUCUCCUCCGCCAUCUUUGGUUUCGAGAACUCGAUCCGAGAUGGAUUCAUAAACAUCUUCAAAGCUGCAAAGCGUUCAAAAUCAUGAUAUCCAACAGAGACAAGAAGAAUGAACUGAAGUGAUUUAAACUAUGAGAAUAAUGGAGACUCGUUAGUAUUGAUUAUCAGUAUUGGUGUAUUGUUCAAACAUUUUAAAAUAAUGGUGAAAUGAGAUUAUGGUUGUCUAUUUACUUGUUUAUUUUUUUAAUUUUACUUCAGUUAAAUCCGAAACCGAUACAGAUAAACCCGAACCCAAUUGAUAUAUGGUUACUUCAGUAUAAACCGAACCCAACCCGAAACCGAUGUGUUAUAUCCGAUCCCGAUCCGAAUGUAAGAAUUUCUUAAAAUGGGACCUAGGAAGUAU